rnacentral:rRNA from 1 species
UACGUAGGGUCCAAGCGUUGUCCGGAUUUAUUGGGCGUAAAGAGCUCGUAGGCGGUUCGGUAAGUCGGAUGUGAAAGCCCGGGGCUUAACCCCGGGUCUGCAUUCGAUACGGGCAGGCUAGAGUGUGGUAGGGGAGAUCGGAAUUCCUGGUGUAGCGGUGAAGUGCGCAGAUAUCAGGAGGAACACCGGUGGCGAAGGCGGAUCUCUGGGCCAUUACUGACGCUGAGGAGCGAAAGCGUGGGGAGCGAACAGG